AGGGCACCACCAGGAGUGGAGCCUGCGGCUUAAUUUGACUCAACGCGGGGAAACUCACCCGGCCCGGACACCGUAAGGAUUGGCAGAUUGAGAGCUCUUUCUUGAUUCGGUGGGUGGUGGUGCAUGGCCGUUCUUAGUUGGUGGAGCGAUUUGUCUGGUUAAUUCCGAUAACGAACGAGACUCUAGCCUACUAAAUAGAAGGCAAAUCAUUCGUUUGCUGUACUUCUUAGAGGGACUAGGGGCGUCUAGCCUCACGAGAUUGAGCAAUAACAGGUCUGUGAUGCCCUUAGAUGUCCGGGGCCGCACGCGCGCUACACUGAAGGAUUCAGCAAGUGUUAACCCUGGUCUGAGAAGAUCGGGUAACCUAAUGAAACUCCUUCGUGAUUGGGAUAGGGACUUGUAAUUAUUUCCCUUGAACGAGGAAUUCCUAGUAAGUGUGGGUCAUCAUCUCGCGUUGAUUACGUCCCUGCCCUUUGUACACACCGCCCGUCGCUACUAUCGAGUGAUGAGUUAUCCAGA
rnacentral:rRNA from 1 species